CUACGGGUCGCUGCAGUGGGGAAUAUUGCACAAUGGGCGCAAGCCUGAUGCAGCCAUGCCGCGUGUAUGAAGAAGGCCUUCGGGUUGUAAAGUACUUUCAGCGGGGAGGAAGGGAGUAAAGUUAAUACCUUUGCUCAUUGACGUUACCCGCAGAAGAAGCACCGGCUAACUCCGUGCCAGCAGCCGCGGUAAUACGGAGGGUGCAAGCGUUAAUCGGAAUUACUGGGCGUAAAGCGCACGCAGGCGGUUUGUUAAGUCAGAUGUGAAAUCCCCGGGCUCAACCUGGGAACUGCAUCUGAUACUGGCGAGCUUGAGUCUCGUAGAGGGGGGUAGAAUGCCAGGUGUAGCGGUGAAAUGCGUAGAGAUCUGGAGGAAUACCGGUGGCGAAGGCGGCCCCCUGGACGAAGACUGACGCUCAGGUGCGAAAGCGUGGGGAGCAAACAGGAUUAGAUACCCCGGUAGUC
rnacentral:rRNA from 1 species